GGAGAGAUGACAGAGCGGCCGAAUGUGGCGGUCUUGAAAACCGCUGUACGCCUGGCGUACCGGGGGUUCGAAUCCCUCUCUCUCCGCGA
rnacentral:tRNA from 3 species